rnacentral:rRNA from 1 species
AAAUUGAAGAGUUUGAUCAUGGCUCAGAUUGAACGCUGGCGGCAGGCCUAACACAUGCAAGUCGAACGGUAACAGGAAGCAGCUUGCUGCUUCGCUGACGAGUGGCGGACGGGUGAGUAAUGUCUGGGAAACUGCCUGAUGGAGGGGGAUAACUACUGGAAACGGUGGCUAAUACCGCAUAACGUCGCAAGACCAAAGAGGGGGACCUUCGGGCCUCUUGCCAUCAGAUGUGCCCAGAUGGGAUUAGCUAGUUGGUGAGGUAACGGCUCACCAAGGCGACGAUCCCUAGCUGGUCUGAGAGGAUGACCAGCCACACUGGAACUGAGACACGGUCCAGACUCCUACGGGAGGCAGCAGUGGGGAAUAUUGCACAAUGGGCGCAAGCCUGAUGCAGCCAUGCCGCGUGUAUGAAGAAGGCCUUCGGGUUGUAAAGUACUUUCAGCGGGGAGGAAGGUGUUGUGGUUAAUAACCGCAGCAAUUGACGUUACCCGCAGAAGAAGCACCGGCUAACUCCGUGCCAGCAGCCGCGGUAAUACGGAGGGUGCAAGCGUUAAUCGGAAUUACUGGGCGUAAAGCGCACGCAGGCGGUCUGUCAAGUCGGAUGUGAAAUCCCCGGGCUCAACCUGGGAACUGCAUUCGAAACUGGCAGGCUUGAGUCUUGUAGAGGGGGGUAGAAUUCCAGGUGUAGCGGUGAAAUGCGUAGAGAUCUGGAGGAAUACCGGUGGCGAAGGCGGCCCCCUGGACAAAGACUGACGCUCAGGUGCGAAAGCGUGGGGAGCAAACAGGAUUAGAUACCCUGGUAGUCCACGCCGUAAACGAUGUCUACUUGGAGGUUGUGCCCUUGAGGCGUGGCUUCCGGAGCUAACGCGUUAAGUAGACCGCCUGGGGAGUACGGCCGCAAGGUUAAAACUCAAAUGAAUUGACGGGGGCCCGCACAAGCGGUGGAGCAUGUGGUUUAAUUCGAUGCAACGCGAAGAACCUUACCUGGUCUUGACAUCCACGGAAAUUUUCAGAGAUGAGAAUGUGCCUUCGGGAACCGUGAGACAGGUGCUGCAUGGCUGUCGUCAGCUCGUGUUGUGAAAUGUUGGGUUAAGUCCCGCAACGAGCGCAACCCUUAUCCUUUGUUGCCAGCGAUUAGGUCGGGAACUCAAAGGA